rnacentral:rRNA from 1 species
GUUACAAUGGCAGGUACAGAGGGAUGCUACCGGGCGACCGGAUGCGGAUCUCGAAAGCCUGUCCCAGUUCGGACUGGAGUCUGCAACCCGACUCCACGAAGUUGGAUUCGCUAGUAAUCGCGCAUCAGCCAUGGCGCGGUGAAUACGUUCCCGGGCCUUGUACACACCGCCCGUCAAGCCAUGGGAGCCGGGGGCGCCUGAAGUCCGGGACCGCGAGGACCGGCCUAGGGCGAAACUGGUAACUGGGGCUAAGUCGUAACAAGGUAUC